UACGUAGGGUGCAAGCGUUGUUCGGAAUUACUGGGCGUAAAGGGCGCGUAGGCGGCCUUCUAAGUCGAACGUGAAAUCCCCGGGCUCAACCCGGGAACUGCGUCCGAGACUGGAAGGCUUGAAUCCGGGAGAGGGAUGCGGAAUUCCAGGUGUAGCGGUGAAAUGCGUAGAUAUCUGGAGGAACACCGGUGGCGAAGGCGGCAUCCUGGACCGGCAUUGACGCUGAGGCGCGAAAGCCAGGGGAGCAAACGGG
rnacentral:rRNA from 1 species